rnacentral:rRNA from 1 species
GUUUGACUCCGUGGCUCAGGACGAACGCUGGCGGCGUGCCUAACACAUGCAAGUCGAACGGAACUUCUUUAAAGGAUUUCUUCGGAAUGAAUUUGAUUAAGUUUAGUGGCGGACGGGUGAGUAACGCGUGAGUAACCUGCCUCUAAGAGGGGAAUAACAUUCUGAAAAAGAAUGCUAAUACCGCAUAAUAUAUAUUUAUCGCAUGGUAGAUAUAUCAAAGAUUUAUCGCUUAGAGAUGGACUCGCGUCCGAUUAGUUAGUUGGUGAGGUAACGGCUCACCAAGACCGCGAUCGGUAGCCGGACUGAGAGGUUGAACGGCCACAUUGGGACUGAGACACGGCCCAGACUCCUACGGGAGGCAGCAGUGGGGGAUAUUGCGCAAUGGGGAAACCCUGACGCAGCAACGCCGCGUGAAGGAUGAAGGUCUUCGGAUUGUAAACUUCUUUUAUUAAGGACGAAGAAAGUGACGGUACUUAAUGAAUAAGCUCCGGCUAACUACGUG